CUACACAUGCAGUCGAACGGAGAAUCAGCAAUGGUUCUUAGUGGCGAACGGGUGAGUAACGCGUAGACAACCUGCCUCAAAGAUGGGGACAACACCGCGAAAGUGGUGCUAAUACCGAAUGUUGCAUUGGAUUCGCAUGAAUCUGAUACUAAAGGUGGCCUCUUUAAAUGCUAUCGCUUUGAGAUGGGUCUGCGUCUGAUUAGCUAGUUGGUGAGGUAACAGCUCACCAAGGCGAUGAUCAGUAGCCGGUCUGAGAGGAUGAACGGCCACACUGGGACUGAGACACGGCCCAGACUCCUACGGGAGGCAGCAGUGGGGAAUCUUCCGCAAUGGACGAAAGUCUGACGGAGCAACGCCGCGUGAGUGAAGAAGGUUUUCGGAUCGUAAAGCUCUGUCUUUGAGGACGAAUGUGCUUAAUGUAAAUAAUGUUAAGUAAUGACGGUACUCGAGGAGGAAGCCACGGCUAACUACGUGCCAGCAGCCGCGGUAAUACGUAGGUGGCAAGCGUUGUCCGGAAUUAUUGGGCGUAAAGCGCGCGCAGGCGGGAUAUUAAGUCUGUCUUAAAAGUUCGGGGCUCAACCCCGUGAUGGGAUGGAAACUAAUAUUCUUGAGUGCAGGAGAGGAAAGUGGAAUUCCCAGUGUAGCGGUGAAAUGCGUAGAUAUUGGGAGGAACACCAGUGGCGAAGGCGACUUUCUGGACUGUGUCUGACGCUGAGGCGCGAAAGCCAGGGGAGUGAACGGGAUUAGAUACCCCGGUAAUCCUGGCCGUAAACGAUGGGUACUAGGUGUAGGAGGUAUCGACCCCUUCUGUGCCGGAGUUAACGCAAUAAGUACCCCGCCUGGGGAGUACGGCCGCAAGGUUGAAACUCAAAGGAAUUGACGGGGGCCCGCACAAGCGGUGGAGUAUGUGGUUUAAUUCGACGCAACGCGAGAACCUUACCAGGACUUGACAUCGAUUGAAAGUUCUAGAGAUAGAACUCUUCUCUUCGGAGACAAGAGACAGGUGGUGCAUGCUGUCGUCAGCUCGUGUCG
rnacentral:rRNA from 1 species